rnacentral:rRNA from 1 species
CAGUAGCCGCGGGAAUACAGAGGGUGCAAGCGUUAAUCGGAAUUACUGGGCGUAAAGCGCGCGUAGGUGGUUUGUUAAGUUGGAUGUGAAAUCCCCGGGCUCAACCUGGGAACUGCAUCCAAAACUGGCAAGCUAGAGUAUGGUAGAGGGUGGUGGAAUUUCCUGUGUAGCGGUGAAAUGCGUAGAUAUAGGAAGGAACACCAGUGGCGAAGGCGACCACCUGGACUGAUACUGACACUGAGGUGCGAAAGCGUGGGGAGCAAACAGGAUUAGAUACCCCCGUAGUCCCUGUCUUUAUACA